rnacentral:lncRNA from 1 species
AGGGGAUUUCGAAGUCAUUCUGACACCGUCUCACACAACUUUAAAUAUCUCUUUAUAGGAAAUUUCUUUGCUCACAAGGUCUCUUUUAUAAGAAACUAGACUAAUUAAGCCUUGAUUACAUAUUUUAUGCAGCCUAUAAUUCCACACCAACAAUUUAUAGUGAUUUUCUAAAAUCACGUUACUGCUGCUGUCCAAAGCAAAUUAUUACAAUUUGCUCUUAAAUUUCCAAGUCCAAACACUUAUGAACUUACCAUUUGAGUUUAAGACAUAUCAUGGCC